UUGUAUUACAUAAAUAGGGAGUCGGACCUGCCCAGUGAAGUUUUUUAACGGCCGCGGUACUCUGACCGUGCAAAGGUAGCAUAAUCAUUUGCCUUAUAAUUGAAGGCUAGUAUGAAUGGUUUGACGAGAAUACAACUGUCUCUUUACAAUUAAGAAGAAAUUGAUCUUCAGGUGAAGAAGCCUGAAUAAAAUUGAAAGACAAGAAGACCCUAUCGAGCUUAAAACAAAUUGAUAGAUCAUAGAUUAAUAUUUUUAAAAAACUAACUAUUAAAGAUUUUGGUUGGGGCGACUGAGGAACAAAAAAAGCUUCCUUUAAUAGUAUAUUAGCACUCAAGCAUUGAUCCAGAAUUCUGAUUAACGAAAUUAGUUACCGUAGGGAUAACAGCAUUAUCUUUUUUAAGAGUUCUAAUCGAAAAAAAGGUUUGUGACCUCGAUGUUGGACCAGAAUAUCCUAAAGAUGCAGAAGUCUUCAAGGGUUGGUCUGUUCGACCAUUAAAAUUCUA
rnacentral:rRNA from 1 species